GACGAACGCUGGCGGCGUGCUUAACACACGCAAGUCGAACGGAAAGGCCCGCUUGCGGGUACUCGAGUGGCGAACGGGUGAGUAACACGUGGGUAACCUGCCCCCUGCUUCGGGAUAACUCCGGGAAACCGGGGCUAAUACCGGAUGUUCAUUUCGCACCGCAUGGUGUGGGGUGGAAAGUUCUUCGGCUGGGGAUGGGCCCGCGGCCUAGCAGCUUGUUGGUGGGGUGAUGGCCUACCAAGGCUUCGACGGGUAGCCGGCCUGAGAGGGCGACCGGCCACACUGGGACUGAGACACGGCCCAGACUCCUACGGGAGGCAGCAGUGGGGAAUAUUGCGCAAUGGGCGGAAGCCUGACGCAGCGACGCCGCGUGAGGGAUGACGGCCUUCGGGUUGUAAACCUCUUUCAGCAGGGACGAAUUUUGACGGUACCUGUAGAAGAAGCACCGGCCAACUACGUGCCAGCAGCCGCCGUAAAAC
rnacentral:rRNA from 1 species